rnacentral:rRNA from 1 species
GACGGGGGAGGAGCAGUGUUCGUGAAUGACUGGGCGUAAAGGGCGCGUAGGCGGGAUGGCACAGUCAGAUGUGAAAUUCCCGGGCUUAACCUGGGGGCUGCAUUUGAUACGUGUUGUCUAGAGUGAGGAAGGGGGUUGUGGAAUUCCCAGUGUAGAGGUGAAAUUCGUAGAUAUUGGGAAGAACACCGGUGGCGAAGGCGGCAACCUGGUCCUUGACUGACGCUGAGGCGCGAAAGCGUGGGGAGCAAACAGG